rnacentral:rRNA from 1 species
GACGAACGCUGGCGGCGUGCUUAACACAUGCAAGUCGAACGGAAAGGCCCUGCUUUUGUGGGGUGCUCGAGUGGCGAACGGGUGAGUAACACGUGAGUAACCUGCCCUUGACUUUGGGAUAACUUCAGGAAACUGGGGCUAAUACCGGAUAGGAGCUCCUGCUGCAUGGUGGGGGUUGGAAAGUUUCGGCGGUUGGGGAUGGACUCGCGGCUUAUCAGCUUGUUGGUGGGGUAGUGGCUUACCAAGGCUUUGACGGGUAGCCGGCCUGAGAGGGUGACCGGCCACAUUGGGACUGAGAUACGGCCCAGACUCCUACGGGAGGCAGCAGUGGGGAAUAUUGUGCAAUGGGCGGAAGCCUGAUGCAGCAACGCCGCGUGCGGGAUGACGGCCUUCGGGUUGUAAACCGCUUUCGCCUGUGACGAAGCGUGAGUGACGGUAAUGGGUAAAGAAGCACCGGCUAACUACGUG